rnacentral:rRNA from 1 species
AACGAACGCUGGCGGCGCGCCUAAUACAUGCAAGUCGAGCGAGAAGACGUAGCAAUACGUUUGUAAAGCGGCGAACGGGUGAGGAAUACAUGGGUAACCUACCCUCGAGUGGGGAAUAACUAGCCGAAAGGUUAGCUAAUACCGCGUACGCUCCUUGGACUUCGGUUCAGGGAGGAAAGCGAUACCGUGGGUAUCGCGCUCUUGGAUGGGCUCAUGUCCUAUCAGCUUGUUGGUGAGGUAACGGCUCACCAAGGCCUCGACGGGUAGCUGGUCUGAGAGGACGAUCAGCCACACUGGCACUGCGACACGGGCCAGACUCCUACGGGAGGCAGCAGUAAGGAAUAUUGCGCAAUGGGCGAAAGCCUGACGCAGCGACGCCGCGUGGGGGA